ACCACAUUAUCAAGUGUAGUAUUUGUUUUUAUCAGUUUAAUAUCUGAUAUGUGCGUCAUUGGCUUACACGAUAUUAAAUUAAUUUUUUAAAGGUGAGAUGUUAUAUCAAUAGCUUCCUACUGGGCAUCUUAAAGGCGUCGCUGAUGUGUUGCACUUCUGCAUUGGCUGGCACACCCCCC